AGCAGGAUGCGCAUGCGCCUGAAUAGCAUGUCGCUGAAAAGAAUGCUCCGUCACAAUCGCGUUAAUUAUGAGAUGAUGUUGUGCAAAAAUAAUGUAAUUUGACCUUGAAGCAACCCGGAAUGGGUAUAUGUGAGUGAAUCAUGAACAUUAUUGAGCGUUUUGCUUAAAAUCAAGUGUCCAAAAUGUAAACAAAUUUGAAGGCGAAUUUACACAAGUAUUGUCACUGCUGACUGACCCAGCGUCCAGGCAAUCAACAAACAAUGGGCAGCCCGUGCAGGGUCAUUGAAGCACUGACCAGUUCUCACAGCAAGGAAGACGGCCUACGAUAUCCAAAGUGUGGAGGAUACACGCAUUGACAUUUUCAAAGCAAUACACAGACGGCUUGGACAACGUGAUGGAAUUUAUUUUGAAAAUGAACUGUUUGAAACAUACACUGAUGAUAAAGAAAACGGAACGAAGAGAGGAAGAGUAGACAUGAAUAGUCGACGUGAUUCCCCAAAAUGGACGUCCACCAAAACGUGUUCACAGAGAGCAUUCCAAGAAGUCGGUGAUUGAGAAAUGUGCGUCUUGUGUAUAUUGCCUAUAUGACUUUUUUACAAACACAACCCCCUCCCACACACUGGAAAAAAAACAAGCACGUAGCAAUUGCAAGCCCGAACCCCGCCCGACCCACAUGGAGACAGUUCAAUGGACAAACAACGAGAGGUGAAGUUAUCAAACCAAGAGUGCUUACAUUGACAGCUUGAGGCACAGGACUAAUUUCUACUGCAUUUGGCAACAUGAGUAUGAAUCACUUGAUCCACCAAGACUUGAACGAGCUGUGGAGGACGAGUAGUUGGUACUUGACAAAAAGCCACUGUGAUGGGCAUUACUUGCACCGGGUACCACCUGGAAAACUCGCAGUUGUGCCCCGAAUGAUUGUGCACCGUCCUCUAAUCACUCGAACGUGAUGCCACACUUACAACUACUGUGGGACUAGGUGGUUUCAAUAUCAUACUUGUGAGGCUGACUUUCAUGAACUAUAGUGUCACGCCAUUUUUCUGUAUCAAACCAUGUAUAAUAAAAUUAUGAAAAAUCCACCAUUUGGUUUUCAUUGUAGCUAAUCGGGCAUUUGAAGCCAUGAGAGUAUGAAAUGAUUUGUUGAAAAUCUUGAUAUGAUUCCCUAGUCUAUCAGGCCAAAUGAUUUUCUCUUACUGCAAAAUAUAUUGAUUGACUACAGAGCCUAAUGUUUCAACACCAACGUGUUGUUUACUACAAAAAUUACUGCUGAGCGAUAUUUUAAAGUACAUAAUACAAAGUGGUAAAUAAUAAAUGUCUGGCAGAAAUUUCUGGAGGUAUAAAAAAGAUUCUUCCAGAAAUUUCUGCAGUACAAAACAAAUCAGUCAGAAUUUUCUUCAGAAAUGCAUUUGAGCUCAUUUGAGGAACAUAAACUUUCCAAUGUUCCUGUGUGUUCCUGUAGGCUCGAUCCCUUUAUGGUCAUGUUCGGACUGCUGACCAUUCCAAAGUUGUAUCACCUCUCCUUCAUGUAAGUUAUAUCCCAGCGUGUUACAUGUAGGUUCAUGCGGAGGAUUGUUUGAAGCGGUACAGAACGUAGGAGAACCCAAAUGUCAGUAAAAUGAUAAAAUAUAAAACCUAGCAAAUUCGAAAAUUAGGCUACAAAAAAUACAGUGCUCUCGCUGUCAGUUGACAAUGCAUUUGUUUAAAAACAACUCUCUAUGAUCACACAUAUCUUCACACCGCGAUUAAGUUGUAACCAGGGUGAAAUAUUCACGUGAAACGUGUGACGCACCGCCUGAGAAGGGAUGUAUCAGGGUGUUUCUGUUCAAAUAAUGUUUUCUCAUCAACUGACCUGACAUAAAUGAUCAAACGUGCUCCAUUCAUUCAAUAUUUGGCAAGAAAUGACAUAUGUUCUCUUCUAUGGAAACUCAUUGAAACACAAAGAAAGUAGUUCCUGCAGCUUCGUUUUAUUGAAAAUGUUUCCACUGACGCGUACAGCAAAACUCAGCGUUCUAAAUGAGCGAAACCACAACAUGGACAAAUCAGAAUAUUUUAGCGAAGUGACUUAUGCUUUUAAGGACAAAAGACACAUCAACAGCCACUGUUUUAUUCGACUAUGU
rnacentral:lncRNA from 1 species